rnacentral:misc_RNA from 1 species
AACGCAUAUUGCGCUCGAGGCUUCGGCCGAGAGCAUGUCUGCCUCAGCGUCGGGUUUAUCUCAUUCCGUCACACCCAUUGCGUGUGGACGAAUGGAUCUGGUCGUUCCAAGCCAUUCAGUUGGAUUGGAUCGUCUGAAGAACAGAGUGAAGAUCGAAAACCUUUCUCUGAGACCCUCAACCGGUCAUAAGAGAGGGCCGCAACUGGGCAGUGAGCGAGAAGCCGCAAAGCUUCUCCUCUUCUUUGCUAGUUGUUGACCUUACAGGAAUUCGAUGACGUACUUCACCAAACCAGGAGAGGGAUACGUGCAUCUUCGGACUCGCGUGACCCCUACACCAUACAUAUCCUCGACCUGAGCUCAGGCAAGAACACCCGCUGAACUUAA